AGCUCCAAUAGCGUAUACUAACGUUGUUGCAGUUAAAAAGCUCGUAGUUGGAUUUCUGUAGAGUGUUUUGUCCGUGUUCCUACUAGGUUCCGGUUCGACUCACUUUACAACAUUUGACUGUAUUUGAUUUGGUUGCUUAACUGUGAUCAGUCAGUUCCAGUCUCGUUUACUUUGAGAAAAUUAGAGUGUUCAAAGCAGGCUUAGUGCCUUGAAUAUGUUAGCAUGGAAUAAUAGCAUAGGACUUCUGUCCUAAUUGUUGGUUGUUCGUACAGAAGUAAUGAUUGAUAGGGACGGUUGGGGGCAUCCGUAUUCUCAAGCGAGAGGUGAAAUUCUUGGACCUUGGGAAGACGAACAGCUGCGAAAGCGUUUGCCUAGGACGUUCUCU
rnacentral:rRNA from 1 species